CAGUUCAACCUGUAACACUCCCAAAGGGCCCUUCGAGCACAGGGUCACUGACAACGUGCUUCUGCCAGGGGGGCCAAGGCGGGUAGUAAUGCCUCUUCCUCAGGCCAGGCAAGUGGCCUUUUAGCCUUCACCAGAAGAUGGGGGUGGGGUGCGGUGUCAGGAGCUUCUCGGGGCUCACAGCUCCACCUGAGGUGGGGGAAGCGGGAGAACAGGGCUGAGCCCUCCGGCCCCAGGGAGCUGUGAGUUCUCCUGGCCAGCCCAGCGAGUCGGGGUACUGGAACACAGUACUGGAGAAGGUGUGGGUCCCCUCUGAAGGCACCCGGCAGAGAUUCUCCAACUUCAAACACAGCAGGAUCCCCUGGCUGGCCUGUUGAAACAGACUCCUGGGCCACAGGGCCGGUUUCUGGCCCUGGAUGUCUUUGGCUGGCUGAGCUGGCAGGAACCACAAGAGCACCUCGCCAUCGUAUCUGAAUCUCAGAAUGGGUCAGCAGUCGGUUGUGGAACAGGUCUUGACUCAGAGGAUUCCACUGAGCGAUCUAGACGCCAAGGAGUCCAGAUGUCUUAGAAGGCUGGGAGGGGGCCCCUAACUCAUGGAGAGAAGCUGAGCAGCAGAAAGAACAACCUUCUUGGAGCAGGCAUUCCCCAGAGAUGGGAAACACCGUUUGAUGGGGAAACUGAGGCCCAGAGUGGUGAAGAGACUAACUAGGUUACACAACCAGUGAAUGAUGUAGCCAACAUUCAAAUCAGGCAGUGAGCCUGCUCUCAGCCCUGAACCAUCCUGCCUCUCCAGCUAACCUCCACCAGUCCCACCAUGGCUGAUGACAAAACCACACAGAAACGGGGCAGAGGUGACCUCUUAGGCUUCAGUUCCCUUAUCUUAUAAAACAAGGACAGAAAAGACCUAUCUUGCAAGGCUGGUCUGAAAUGGAAAUAAAAUAUAUAUAUCAAUGCUCAA